AAAUAUGUUGCUGAUCCCUGAAGGAAGCUUGGAGAGAUGCACAAAACAAACAAACAAAAACCACAAAAGUGGGGCUUCACAUGACUAUGGAAUUUCUUAGAUGAUGUUGCAGAUGAUAUUAGCAAAAAUGGGACUGUUUCUCUACAAACACAGGAAAAGUGAACAAAAACUCUUUUUUUGGCCAGGCACGAUGAAAUAUGCCUGUAGUGUCAGCUACUCUGGAGACUGAGGUAGGAGGAUCACUUGAGGCCAGGUGUUCAAGGUUGUAGUGGACUGUGUUCAUGCUUGUGAAUAGCCACUGCAUUCCAUCAUGAGCCAAAUAGACCCCACUCAGAAUGUGUCAGAACACCAGCUAAACAAAAGCUAAGGG
rnacentral:lncRNA from 1 species